CCUACGGGUGGCUGCAGUGGGGAAUAUUGGACAAUGGGCGAAAGCCUGAUCCAGCCAUGCCGCGUGUGUGAAGAAGGCCUUCGGGUUGUAAAGCACUUUCUGUGGGGAAGAAAGCCUUGGGGCUAAUACCCUCGAGGAAGGACAUCACCCACAGAAGAAGCACCGGCUAACUCCGUGCCAGCAGCCGCGGUAAUACGGAGGGUGCGAGCGUUAAUCGGAAUUACUGGGCGUAAAGCGCGCGUAGGCGGUCUGAUAAGCCGGUUGUGAAAGCCCCGGGCUCAACCUGGGAACGGCAUCCGGAACUGUCAGGCUAGAGUGCAGGAGAGGAAGGUAGAAUUCCCGGUGUAGCGGUGAAAUGCGUAGAGAUCGGGAGGAAUACCAGUGGCGAAGGCGGCCUUCUGGACUGACACUGACGCUGAGGUGCGAAAGCGUGGGUAGCAAACAGGAUUAGAUACCCUAGUAGUC
rnacentral:rRNA from 1 species